UAUACGUCACAGGGGAGCGCGAAAACGCGCUGAGAGUGCGGAAACCCGCAGACCCUCACACCUGAUCCGGAUCAUGCCGGCGUAGGAAGAUGAGUACCUCUCCUUG
rfam:Arcanobacterium haemolyticum DSM 20595, complete genome.